UGAUGUUUGCGUGGCGGUAGUUUUGUGUCGUGGCGAUGGUAGCGGUGUGCUGGGAGAGGUGAUGGAAUGUUGACUUAGAUAUUCAGCUGCGAUCUUCGUCGUGGAGUAGGCGGGCGGCGUUGCGCUGCGUCUAGCCGUUGGAUAAUCUAUGCGUGCAAGGUGGAACAAAAGAUUAAGUGAAGCUUCAUUAAAACAACAAUAGCAAGAACAAAUAUGAAUACUCUACAUCAUUUAGCAUUUGCAAGGCGGUUGGGACUACUCUACCUGGACUGCAUACCUUCCGUGGACUCUUCACUAUCCUCACAUAUAGGAUUUGGAUUUUUAAUUUUCUUCACUGGUGAUGCCGUGCCAUUUGCUUCGGUACUUGAAUUAUUGGUACCGGAAUCGAAAGAGCUCUGCACAACCACAUCCAUAUGAGAGUCCAAUGAGAAUUGUUUGCCUGUGCGGGAACGUCGAAAAAGAAUAAAUAGCCAAUCAACAUUAAAAUACCUCGUACACGUCGCCGCAUCGAUGGUGAUUCCUGAUGCUGUGAAAAAUCAUUAAUAAUAUAAGUGAUUACUUACAGCAAUUCGCACACCAGCAUAAGUUUUGGCCAAAAAUUCAUCUGCAUCGAAUAUGGCUGCAAAUGAACCGUUGACGAUUUUCGGCGAGAGUGGUGAAUUUGAUAGUAGUAGACUAGAGCCGAAAGCUUCAUUUUUCUCUUUAGCAUCUACGGAAUCGAAAUGGACAAUUGAUACUACAGGCUUUGGCAAACUUAGUCAUGGAGCGAUACUCAGUUGAACAACGCGUAAAAGUUAUCCAAACGUUUUACAAAAAUGGUAAUUCGUAAUACAUUUUCACCUAAACGGAUACGUUAUCAAGCAAAACUGGCCGUUUUUGGAAUACUGAAAACUCGCAUGUCAUUCAAGAAAAGCCUAUGCACUCAGAACGAGUUGUCUUUUGUGUUGGUGUGAUUUUAGCCUUGGUAGAGCCAUUGGACCGUAUUUAUUCGAAAAUUAAGCCGGUAACUCUGAGCGGUAGUCGUUAUCGUGGCCUUAAUUAGAUAUGGACUUGGACAAUAUGAGGUUUCAACAGGACGGUGUCACUUGCCACACAGCGCAUGAAACAAUGGCCCUAUUGCAAACGAAGUUCCCAGGACGCAUUAUCUGAAAAAACAUCAAGGUCAAAUAGCCGCCGAGAUCUUGCGAUUCGGACUAUUGGACUUCUACCUACGGCCUCGUGAAAAAUGUGGUCUAUGCCAAUACGCCCGAAACGUUUCCAGAGCUGAAGAACAAAAACAUACGCACUCUGCCAAAAUGUUCUGGAAAAAUCUAAUACGCGCACCCUGUGUUGCCAGAGGACUCGUGGUCGGCGUUUAACGGAUGAUGUAUUUCAUAGUCUAAAAAACGUGACGAUAUAAAAAAAAAUCAUUUAUAUAAAUUUUGUUGGGUUUUAUGUAGAAAAUA